rnacentral:rRNA from 1 species
UACGGGGGGGGCAAGCGUUGUUCGGAAUUACUGGGCGUAAAGGGCGCGUAGGCGGCCUGCUAAGUCGGACGUGAAAUCCCUCGGCUCAACCGGGGAACUGCGUCCGAUACUGGCGAGGCUUGAAUCCGGGAGAGGGAUGUGGAAUUCCGAGUGUAGAGGUGAAAUUCGUAGAUAUUCGGAAGAACACCAGUGGCGAAGGCGACUCACUGGACAUGUAUUGACGCUGAGGUACGAAAGCGUGGGGAGCAAACAGG